rnacentral:rRNA from 1 species
UAGUCCACGCCGUAAACGAUGGAUACUAGGUGUCCGGGAUAUUAACCUCCUGGGUACUACAGUUAACGCGUUAAGUAUCCCGCCUGGGGAGUACGGUCGCAAGGCUAAAACUCAAAGGAAUUGACGGGGGCCCGCACAAGCGGUGGAGUAUGUGGUUUAAUUCGAAGCAACGCGCAGAACCUUACCUACCCUUAACAUUUCACGACGUAUACAGAGAUGUAUAUUUCUCUUCGGAGACGUGAGGAUAGGUGCUGCAUGGCUGUCGUCAGCUCGUACCGUGAGGUGUCAGGUUAAGUCCUAUAACGAGCGCAACCCUUAUCUUUAGUUGCCAGCGAGUCAUGUCGGGGACUCUAGAGAAACUGCCUGCGUAAGCAGAGAGGAAGGUGGGGACGAUGUCAAGUCAUCACGGCCCUUACGCCCUGGGCCACACACGUGCUACAAUGGCAGGUACAGAGGGCAGCUACCGAGUGAUCGGAUGCAAAUCUCAAAAACCUAUCUCAGUUCGGAUUGGAGU